rnacentral:tRNA from 1 species
GGGCGGUUAGCUCAGUUGGGAGAGCAACGCGUUUACACCGCGUAGGUCGGCGGUUCGAGCCCGUCACCGCCCACCA